CUCACCCUCUUACCUGCCAGGUGAGACACAGGAGAAAAAAAACACUCAGUCCUCAGAGAUCAUUUCACUCCCUCGGUGAAUACGGCAGCUCCUUCAUCACUCUGGUGCCACUUGAUUACCUGGAGGACAGGGGGGGUUGUCUCACAGUUUCUGUUGCCCAUACAGCUGGAAACUUUGCCUGGGAAUUUCUGUUUUCAAAAAUUUCAGUCAUUGUUUCUGGUCGUGUGUGUAACAUGCAUCCAAGGCCAAAGAGAGGAGCCACAGUGGAGGUUUGGAUGGAUUGUAGUUUGACUGCAGUCUUCAGACUGAGGUACAGAAUUGAUCUCUGCUUUGGACAAAUGUCUGAUGUCUGUGAGGAGGAAGAGGGCCAAAUAGAUGCCAGCAUGAAACUCUGCUGAGCUCAGCUGCCUGGAGAGCUAAAUCUGCAUCUUGACUGUAGAAUGUAUUGAUCUGUUAAAGCUGCAUAGCCACAUGGUGGUCCUCCUCUUUUAACACAUCUCAUCUGAAGAGCAUUUUAAUUUUCAAGGCCACCAGGAGCAAAACAGAUCCUGUCUGCUUUCGACACUUUUUAAUCUCCAAACAACAGCAGUGGCUGCUUUUCUGGUUAUGGAGGUGUAGCUACCAGUAGUUUGGUUGUGACAUAUCCCACUGAGGGCAUGGCAGUGGUGUUACCACAUGCAGACGAGGCAUCAGUAUGUCAGGUAUGUUGGUGAACCAGAUCCACUCAGCCAUUCUCAGAUGAUGGGUGUAACUCUGUACUUUCCUUGCAAGUGGCAUGAUUUAUUAAAACUGUUGACAAUAAAAGACUACCUGACACUAUGCACAAGGAAGUGAUGGCACAUUAUUGAGUUUGAGAUGAGUCAGGAUCAAAGUGGAAUGUUGUAUAUUAGCUUCUGCUCACAGUGAAUGUAUUUGUGUGGCUGUUCCUGCAGAAAUAAAUGAGGAAUGAUUGUGCGGAACUCACUACAUGGAAGAGCUUUGUCUUAGCAGUCUUUUAGCUUGUGGUUAAUAUUUGUGUACGCAAACAGCUGGAGGUCUACACAGCUCAAACAGGUUUCUUCAAGCCUGGGUUCAUUUGAUAAAGCCGAGGUGCAGAGUGAAUUUGUGUGAAUACUGACCAGCACUACCUGCAAUAACACUGCUAACAGGUGAGUGAGACAUUAUUUAACAUUCAGAUGACCCUUGGGCGUCAGGCAACACUGCUGCAAUUUUAAAUAUGCUAUUUUUGUAAUGUAGAUUUGCUGUGGGCCUGUAGUUCCAGCAGGUCAGUGGCUGGAGGGACGAGAUGCAGCUUAAGAUAACACAAACAAAAUGCCUUUUCCGUCUUUCCUGAAAAGCUUAAAACCUGUACUACAGGUAGACGGUGUGUAUUCUGUGGUGAGGCAACAUUCUGACAAUAAAAACGCAAAGUGUGGUGUAUAAAUGACUCAAAGAAACCUUAAGGUAUUCCUCGAGGGUUAUUUGAGGCCUCCGUUUAACAGGUUGAACUGCGACACGCUGAGCGGCCUCAGGUGUUUCAGGGGCCUCACUGUGACUGAAUGAGUCGCACUCAUGAACAGUGGAAAUGCUGAUACAGUUUAUUACAUUUUGAGAUGCUAUAGAUAAAAGCAACUUGUUAAUUCAUUUUACUUAAAAAAAAGUUCUGUUACAGCAAGUGCCAACAUGAGUUGAUUCAUGAUCUGUAGAUUGCAUACAAGCCCUGGAUUAAAGAACAUAAAAAAACAUAGCACUCGAUGUUUGAUGUAGACAGCACUUGAUCCCAAAGUAAUGUCUGAUGCACAACAUCCACAAAUACACAAAGAGGCAUCCUGAUCUCAUCAAUUUUGUACUUUUUUUCCCCCUCAGUUUUCAACACGUCCACACGGUGGUGCUCUCACCAAAGAAUAAAUAAGGAGUCCCACCUCUGUGGGUGUGGUAGCUCUGCUACAACCACAACUACUUUAAGCUCUUCCCAUUUUCAAAUCCCUGAAAACAAUUACAAACAUAUGGCACAAAUCUCAUUCUGUCAACAGUUAGCACAUCAUAUAUCUCCAUAACAUCUGUGUGUUUGUCCUUGGCAACGCAAACAUCUCACACUUUCUCUGAAUGGGGAGGGAGUCAUUCUGGAAGGCGGUUUAUAAUUUCAACAUUUAUUACGACGUGUGAACUUGGAAGCAGCACUGAAUGGUCAAAGAGUCACUUUGUGGCCACCAGAAAAAAUAUCAGUAAACUUAAAAGCCUGAUUGUGUUCUUCAUUUUCCUCAUCACCCUUAUUCCAUAUGAACAGAAAAUAAUGGAUCCCGGAGUUGUAAAAAUGCUAAAAUAGGUCCCUUUGAGUAGUAGUAAUAUAAAUUAGAGCUGAUCCUGUGACUGAUCUUCCUCCAUCCAGACGCCUUCUAUUGUGGGAAUGUUUGUCUUUUCUGCAGGCAGGAAGUGACGUCUGCCUUUGAGCUGGACACAAAGAAGAGGACUGGAAGUGACAGCGGGGAAACUUUUAGAGGAGACAAUCUGAGGAAAGACCAACAAAAUACUGUAAAAAAAUAAAAUAUAAAGGUUCCCUUUCUGAACAAAUAUAACAAGUGGGAGAUAAAGAAAAGGAAUGAAAAGAGAAGCGUGUGUUUUCCAAAAUGGGGAACAGAAUUGGUAGCAAAAUUAAGAAAACAAAAAAGAUAUUUACAUUUAAAUAAAACAGGAGCAAAUAUUCAAUCGCACAACGUCUGUGCCGUAAGCACAAGCAUGAGUUCAGGUUUGACACAGACAAGCAAUGUACAUGCAUUUCAUUUUGGUACUGGUUCUUUUACGGGCCAGUUUUGGUUUGUAAAUGACGAGGCCGAUGUGGAGUGGCAGAAAGGUGAUAUAUUGUACAGCAGUAUAUGAGCUGACAUAUUUUGUUCAUUCACAAAGAGAGAGAUUAUUGGCUUCUUGUGGCUUUAGCCCUUUCUGACAACAAAGAGGGAGCCAGAUAGUUUGAUAUAGAGCUGAAAUGCAGGUACACAGUUGUACACUUUCAGUAAGCAUGCACAUAGAAACAGUGAGUCAUACACAAGAGUAUCAUCCAUCCACAGUUUGAAGGGUGACGGGGUUGAAAAGUGCCCCUCACAAGCAGAAGACGACAGCCUACGACAGCCAGUUAAAUGUCCAUGGAUCAUCACAAAGCUCCACCUCCUCUGCACUGGAACAAGGUGGUACAACAGGUCAAAGCCAAAACUACCAGCAUCUUGAUAAAGGCUUAUGUUUUGUGUGUAGUUUGAAUACAGCAACAGGAGCGUAUCCCUCCGGGGUCGUAUGCUGUGUGGCACAUGGAGAGGGCCUGUUGAGUCUCGUUGCGCAAUGUGAUGAGAACAGAACUGCAGCAUGGAUGUACAAAGCAGCUGCCAUGUUGGUAUCUAAGACACUGUAGCAGCCAGGCACGUCCCAUGAAAGAGUCAUGAGGGAUUUUGAGAUUGCAUGGUUAUAUCCAGCAGAGGCCUUGAGCCCUUGUGACGGCAUGGUCCACAGAUGGGACGAACAUCAGCACAUGAUGACGACAGAAGGUGAGGCGCCAGUUCCUCUGUUUCCAACAGCUAAAGGGGGGGGGGGG